CUCACAUGGGAGCUUUGCUGCAGAUGGCGAUCGAGCUGGCUGCACUUGCUAGUCGCUGCCCCUUUCUCCAACUUCUUCUUUCUUCUCCUGAGUUUUUCUAGUUGUGCCCUAGCUUCGAUUUGUCGUCGGGAGGGUGGAGUUGAUGAAGGGGGGGGGUGAAGACAAACUCUUCACCUUGCUUACGGAUCCGAGCAAGCCAACGUCGAUUCUAUCAAUGAGGUGCAUCUCCUCCUCUUCACCGGAUCUGGAUCAAACCGGUUGUUUUCUCCUUGCGUGCCUGAUGGCAACUUCGAAUCCUCUUCACAGAGUUCCCAUUCUAUUACCGACUAGACACAGCCACCUCUGUGAAUCGUCAUCGCUGCCCUUCCUUUCAGUGGGCAAUGGGUUGCUAUUCGAGUAGAGAUAGUGAAGAAGUAGUGAACCUCCGGCAAAAAUAUGGAAGUUGGUAGAUCAGCCGUUGCAACUCCAACCUUGUUUCCGGCAACAGCUUCACAGUAGCUUCAACAAUGAAUUUCUAGUAGUAAGUUUCUCCGAUGGCGGGUUAACAAUAGUGCAAUCAGAUUUGGAUAAGUCAUAGAGGUAACAGGUAGAUGAGUCAUGGAUGCUUGGAGAGAUGCUGCCUGCCAGUCCUAUGUCAUAUCCGAGGAAUGAUUUUGGUUUUGUUUAUCUUUACUUGCAUUUCGUAUUCGUUGGAUUUGGUGCUAUGAGAACUAACUAUAUUUUGAUACUUGUUUUGCAGACUUUAUAUCUGUGAUGUUUUGUGGACUUUGCAUUUAUGGGUUUUCUUUCCGUUAUUCCA